GAUGAACGCUAGCUACAGGCUUAACACAUGCAAGUCGAGGGGCAGCAUGAACUUAGCUUGCUAAGUUUGAUGGCGACCGGCGCACGGGUGAGUAACACGUAUCCAACCUGCCGAUGACUCGGGGAUAGCCUUUCGAAAGAAAGAUUAAUACCCGAUGGCAUAGUUCUUCCGCAUGGUAGAACUAUUAAAGAAUUUCGGUCAUCGAUGGGGAUGCGUUCCAUUAGGUUGUUGGCGGGGUAACGGCCCACCAAGCCUUCGAUGGAUAGGGGUUCUGAGAGGAAGGUCCCCCACAUUGGAACUGAGACACGGUCCAAACUCCUACGGGAGGCAGCAGUGAGGAAUAUUGGUCAAUGGACGAGAGUCUGAACCAGCCAAGUAGCGUGAAGGAUGACUGCCCUAUGGGUUGUAAACUUCUUUUAUACGGGAAUAAAGUGAGGCACGUGUGCCUUUUUGUAUGUACCGUAUGAAUAAGGAUCGGCUAACUCCGUGCCAGCAGCCGCGGUAAUACGGAGGAUCCGAGCGUUAUCCGGAUUUAUUGGGUUUAAAGGGAGCGUAGGCGGACGCUUAAGUCAGUUGUGAAAGUUUGCGGCUCAACCGUAAAAUUGCAGUUGAUACUGGGUGUCUUGAGUACAGUAGAGGCAGGCGGAAUUCGUGGUGUAGCGGUGAAAUGCUUAGAUAUCACGAAGAACUCCGAUUGCGAAGGCAGCCUGCUGGACUGUAACUGACGCUGAUGCUCGAAAGUGUGGGUAUCAAACAGGAUUAGAUACCCUGGUAGUCCACACAGUAAACGAUGAAUACUCGCUGUUUGCGAUAUACAGUAAGCGGCCAAGCGAAAGCGUUAAGUAUUCCACCUGGGGAGUACGCCGGCAACGGUGAAACUCAAAGGAAUUGACGGGGGCCCGCACAAGCGGAGGAACAUGUGGUUUAAUUCGAUGAUACGCGAGGAACCUUACCCGGGCUUGAAUUGCAACUGAAUGAUGUGGAGACAUGUCAGCCGCAAGGCAGUUGUGAAGGUGCUGCAUGGUUGUCGUCAGCUCGUGCCGUGAGGUGUCGGCUUAAGUGCCAUAACGAGCGCAACCCUUAUCGAUAGUUACCAUCAGGUGAUGCUGGGGACUCUGUCGAGACUGCCGUCGUAAGAUGUGAGGAAGGUGGGGAUGACGUCAAAUCAGCACGGCCCUUACGUCCGGGGCUACACACGUGUUACAAUGGGGGGUACAGAAGGCAGCUACACGGCGACGUGAUGCUAAUCCCGAAAGCCUCUCUCAGUUCGGAUUGGAGUCUGCAACCCGACUCCAUGAAGCUGGAUUCGCUAGUAAUCGCGCAUCAGCCACGGCGCGGUGAAUACGUUCCCGGGCCU
rnacentral:rRNA from 1 species